rnacentral:rRNA from 1 species
AGCUUGCUCUUAUGGGUGGCGAGUGGCGAACGGGUGAGUAACGCGUAGGAAUAUACCUUAAAGAGGGGGGAUAACUUGAGGAAACUCAAGCUAAUACCGCAUAUGCUCUGAGGAGCGAAGCUGGGGACCUUUGGGCCUGGCGCUUUAAGAAUAGCCUGCGUCUGAUUAGCUAGUUGGUGGGGUAAAGGCCUACCAAGGCGAUGAUCAGUAGCUGGUCUGAGAGGAUGGACAGCCACACUGGGACUGAGACACGGCCCAGACUCC